UACGGAGGGGGCUAGCGUUGUUCGGAAUUACUGGGCGUAAAGCGCACGUAGGCGGCUUUGUAAGUUAGAGGUGAAAGCCCGGGGCUCAACUCCGGAAUUGCCUUUAAGACUGCAUCGCUAGAAUUGUGGAGAGGUAAGUGGAAUUCCGAGUGUAGAGGUGAAAUUCGUAGAUAUUCGGAAGAACACCAGUGGCGAAGGCGACUUACUGGACACAUAUUGACGCUGAGGCUCGAAAGCAUGGGGAGCAAACAGG
rnacentral:rRNA from 1 species